rnacentral:rRNA from 1 species
CAGAGGUGGCAAGCGUUGUUCGGAAUUACUGGGCGUAAAGGGCGCGUAGGCGGCCUUGUGAGUCAGACGUGAAAUCCCCAGGCUUAACUUGGGAACUGCGUCUGAUACUGCAAGGCUCGAGUGCGGGAGAGGGAUGUGGAAUUCCAGGUGUAGCGGUGAAAUGCGUAGAUAUCUGGAGGAACACCGGUGGCGAAGGCGGCAUCCUGGACCGACACUGACGCUGAGGCGCGAAAGCUAGGGGAGCAAACGGGAUUAGAUACCCCCGGUAGUCCUAGCCCUAAACGAUGAGUGCUUGGUGUGGCGGGUAUCGAUCCCUGCCGUGCCGAAGCUAACGCAUUAAGCACUCCGCCUGGGGAGUACGGUCGCAAGGCUG